GGAAUAUUCCCUGACUUCUCCUGCUUCCUCUCCUGAUCCAGAAUGCGGCUCUGGCACUGAGGAGUAGUGAGCUCAGUGCUCUUCACCACAGGUACCAGCAGCAGAACAUCAGGGGACCCGUGGAGACCAGAGAAGGAGAGGAGGAGCAUGGAGGAUGUCAUGUGGGACUUGGAAGGACUUAUUGAUGAGCACAGAUGAGCACACACACUUAAUGUUAGAGGCCACUGGCUCAGACAAUGGGGAAGCUUUGAAGGAUCUUGAUCCUAGAAGAGACAAGGUCAAGGUGGCAUAGGAGGAAAUCUAGGUUGGUGGUGCUUAUUAUCUCCAGACCUCGUUCUUCAGGGUUGGAAUACUCACUGCAUUGUUCAAGCCACUGAACAAACUGCAUGGAGAUCUAUAGACCUGCAACAUAUCAAAUAAAGGAAAAU
ensembl:lncRNA